AUAGGGAUAGGUUGUACACCUGAUAUUUUGGUCUCAAAUCAAGCAAGACGACCCGCUGAACUUAAGCAUAUCAAUAAGCGGAGGAAAAGAAACCAACAGGGAUUCCCUUAGUAACGGCGAGUGAAGCGGGAAAAGCUCAAAUUUAAAAUCUCCUAGGUUUCCUAGGCGAAUUGUAGUUUCAAGAAGCGUUUUCUGAGAUGGCCUCGGUCCAAGUCUGCUGGAAGGCAGCGCCAUAGAGGGUGAUAGCCCCGUAGGAUCCUGAACCAUUUCUUUAUGAUUGCGUCUUCGAAGAGUCGUACAGUUUGAGAAUGCUGUGCUAAAUGGGAGGUAAAUAUCUUCUAAAGCUAAAUAUUGGCGUGAGACCGAUAGCGAACAAGUACCGUGAGGGAAAGAUGAAAAGAACUUUGAAAAGAGAGUUAAAUAGUACGUGAAAUUGUCUAAAGUGAAACGUUUGAAACUAGUAUCGGAAGAUUACGGACAGCCGCAAGGUGCACUCGUAGUUUUCUGUGCCAGCGACAGUUUUGCUCGCAGUAAAUGCUCCUAGGAAUGUAGCUUCGGUGUUAUAGACUAGGGUGAGUGCUGUGGGUGGGACUGAUGAUCGCCACUGCCUUGGGGAAGCAGCUGCCUCGAAGCAAGCCGUUUUGGACAACUUGUUGACCAAGAUUGUUUUGUUAGGGAUCGGUUGUGUACCACUAUCAG
rnacentral:rRNA from 1 species